rnacentral:rRNA from 1 species
GACGAACGCUGGCGGCGUGCUUAACACAUGCAAGUCGAACGAUGAAAAAAGGAGCUUGCUCUUUUUGGAUUAGUGGCGAACGGGUGAGUAACACGUGAGUAAUCUGCCCCGGACUCUGGGAUAAGCGUUGGAAACGACGUCUAAUACCGGAUAUGAAGCGUGGAGGCAUCUUCUGCGUUUGGAAAGAUUUUUUGGUUUGGGAUGAGCUCGCGGCCUAUCAGCUUGUUGGUGAGGUAAUGGCUUACCAAGGCGACGACGGGUAGCCGGCCUGAGAGGGUGACCGGCCACACUGGGACUGAGACACGGCCCAGACUCCUACGGGAGGCAGCAGUGGGGAAUAUUGGACAAUGGGCGGAAGCCUGAUCCAGCAACGCCGCGUGAGGGAUGACGGCCUUCGGGUUGUAAACCUCUUUCAGUAGGAACGAAGCGCAAGUGACGGUACCUACAGAAGAAGCACCGGCCAACUACGUGCCAGCAGCCGCAGUAACAC